rnacentral:rRNA from 1 species
UACGUAGGGCGCAAGCGUUGUCCGGAAUUAUUGGGCGUAAAGAGCUCGUAGGCGGUUUGUCGCGUCUGUCGUGAAAGCUUGGGGCUUAACCCCAAGUCUGCGGUGGAUACGGGCAGACUAGAGGCAGGUAGGGGAGAACGGAAUUCCCGGUGUAGCGGUGAAAUGCGCAGAUAUCGGGAGGAACACCGGUGGCGAAGGCGGUUCUCUAGGCCGAAACUGACGCUGAGGAGCGAAAGCGUGGGGAGCGAACAGG